rnacentral:rRNA from 1 species
UACGUAUGGAGCAAGCGUUAUCCGGAUUUACUGGGUGUAAAGGGAGAGUAGGUGGCAGAGCAAGUCCGAAGUGAAAACCCAAAGCUCAACUAUGGGAAUGCUUUAGAAACUGCUCAGCUAGAGUGCAGGAGAGGCAAGUGGAAUUCUUAGUGUAGCGGUGAAAUGCGUAGAUAUUAGGAGGAACACCAGUGGCGAAGGCGGCUUGCUGGACUGUAACUGACACUGAGGCUCGAAAGCGUGGGGAGCAA